rnacentral:rRNA from 1 species
UCUCAAGAAGUUAGCGGCGGAGGGUGAGAUAACACGUGGGUAACCUGCCCAUAAGACUGGGAUAACUCCGGGAAACCGGGGCUAAUACCGGAUAACAUUUUGAACUGCAUGGUUCGAAAUUGAAAGGCGGCUUCGGCUGUCACUUAUGGAUGGACCCGCGUCGCAUUAGCUAGUUGGUGAGGUAACGGCUCACCAAGGCAACGAUGCGUAGCCGACCUGAGAGGGUGAUCGGCCACACUGGGACUGAGACACGGCCCAGACUCCUACGGGAGGCAGCAGUAGGGAAUCUUCCGCAAUGGACGAAAGUCUGACGGAGCAACGCCGCGUGAGUGAUGAAGGCUUUCGGGUCGUAAAACUCUGUUGUUAGGGAAGAACAAGUGCUAGUUGAAUAAGCUGGCACCUUGACGGUACCUAACCAGAAAGCCACGGCUAACUACGUGCCAGCAGCCGCGGUAAUACGUAGGUGGCAAGCGUUAUCCGGAAUUAUUGGGCGUAAAGCGCGCGCAGGUGGUUUCUUAAGUCUGAUGUGAAAGCCCACGGCUCAACCGUGGAGGGUCAUUGGAAACUGGGAGACUUGAGUGCAGAAGAGGAAAGUGGAAUUCCAUGUGUAGCGGUGAAAUGCGUAGAGAUAUGGAGGAACACCCAGUGGCGAAAGCGACUUUCUGGUCUGUAACUGACACUGAGGCGCGAAAGCGUGGGGAGCAAACAGGAUUAGAUACCCCUGAUA